rnacentral:lncRNA from 1 species
UUAUCUUGAACCGUCUGUUUGGCAUCAGGCUUAUCUAGCUUCUGAUUUCCAUGAAGUUCAAUAGUGAUAUAGGAUUCAUUACUUGCAUCUUGAUUUACCACCUCCUUCAGUGAAGGUACAAACUCCCUAACUGAGCAUGAUUUUCUUAGUGCCUCUGGCAUGGGGACAGAAUUCUUGUUCGCUGAAGGCACAGAGGGACAGUGAGCUUCUUGGACAACAGUAAAGACUUCUGAGCGACUGUUAUCCUGGUUUUCUUUUCCAUUUGCGUGCUUCUCAUCUCCACUGGAUUUCUGAAUGCAUACAGUAGGAAAAAUUGAUGAGAAAAUAAAAUCAGUUGAAUAAAGAGGAAAAUGAAAGAGUUCUUCACCUCAGGCGGUGGUUCUUUCUCCAGGUCCAAAGUUUGUUUACAAUUUAAAGGAUUUCCAUCCUUCACUGCCACAUGAGAAGGCGGAGGACCCACACCAGUCUUUCGAGGAUAAGGAUUGUGCGGUUUCCUCUUAGGACGCGGAGGUGGAAUGUCUAUGUCAAGUGCUUGUCCUAUUGGAACACCUUUAGCAACAGCCUCCUUCUCC